AAGGAUUUAAGUUAAUUAAACUGCCAACCUUCAAAGUUGUAAAUAGAAAAAAUAUAUUCUAAGCCUUA
rnacentral:tRNA from 1 species